rnacentral:lncRNA from 1 species
GUGCAGGCCCCGGUUUCACAAAAAAACUUAAGUUUUUACUCAUAUUUCAACUCAAGUUAUAACUUAAGUCUGAUAAACGACUCAGCUGAGUGAUUAUGUUUGAGAGCGUUUCACAAAAAAUCUUAAGUUAUUGCUCAGUUGAGUGAAAACUUUCAACUCAAAUCUUUCAAUAUUCUUAAUGAUAUAAGCUACAAUUCCGAUAGCUCUUCAGACCUCGCGCAACAGAAGGAAGAAAAGAAGUAAAAUUACUAAAAUACACCGACCAUCUCCGUCAAAUAUCGUUGCACAAAACAACAAAGCGGUACCCGUAGAUCCUGAUCAUCGCUGAGUGAUACUAGUAUGUUACGUACGGUGCUUCGCAAGGGGCGAAGGAAGCAUGAUAUAGCCGACCAGUUAUGCGUGAGUAUAUCAGCUGUUUCUGUAAAAUGCUAUGAAUCAUUGAAUGUGCCAAAAGAGUCUUCUUUGAAUGUGCAUAGUUUGUUAUCACUAUCAGUAUCAGGAUAUUUAAAAUAAUUAAAAUACAUCUAUAAGAGAAUUAAGAAUACUUCGGAAAAAUCGAUACGGUAACGUACGGGGAACACAGUUUUAUCUCUUGUCGUCAUUUCCUGUGUUAGUUUUCAUGUAUAAUUUUCGGUAUGGAUGAAUUCGAUAAAAAAACACAACAUUAUCAGAUCACAUCAUCAGGGAACUGAAAGGUGGACUUGGGGAAAUGAAGUUGCAGUCUAUGGUCCUGUUUGCCCUGUGUUGUAGGACAAACAACAACAACAAAAAAUUAUGAAUUUUUCCAUUGAUUGGUGGUGGAGGGGAUAAUAUUGUUGUCAGUUUGAGAAGUAGAAGAAAAAGUAAAUGACUCGGAUCAAAGACCUUUUCUGAACAGAUUGAGAAAACAGAAGUCUACAAAACAGAUCAAAGAUGAUAAAAAGGACGAUGUUUAUGCCCUGGAAAGAAAAAGAUGCUGUUUGAAAUAGAGGACAUUAAGUAAAAGAAAAGCAAAGACCAACAGCUAUUUCUGUUAGAAAAAUAAAAAAAACAACAAUAAAUUAAAGUGAUCAGUUUUCCCAUUUGAAAACGAGGGUAUAAUAUGUAUCUACAUUUGUGUGCGCAUUUUAGCGUUGUGAUCAAAUAUCUAUUUCCCCUGAAAAGAAUGUAAUAUAAAUUUGUACAAUAGUGUAAUUGUCCCCGGGAUGGAUCAUGAAGUAUAUUAUAAAUAUUCAGGGUGUCAUGUGCAGAACCCAGACCCUUAUCUCAAAGGUCAAGGUAGCAAUGUUUGGUAACGUUUUUGUAAUAAGCUGGUAUAGAUCUAGUAACCGUUACUGGGAAUGAUUUGAAUUUCACACAUGUUGAUUGUGAUGACAUGACAAACACUGUGUAAGUUCCAUAACUCUGUUUUGAUAUUAUGGCUCUUUUUUACUCGGGAUUUUUUUUGUUGAAAAUAUUGUUUGGAUCUACUUUAAUUUAAUACUAUCAGAGAUUUGUACAUUUGUUUCUCAUUAUGCGAGUAAAUAGACCAAGAAUCAUUACUCAGACAUGCAUUUUGUUAGUAUGAGGUGGAUGAAUUUUGUUAUGACCCUUUGUGGUCUUUAUGUAUUUUUUUUGUUAAAUUUUUAGUUUAGAUUCACUUUUCAAAUACUAAAAAUGUUACAGCUUUUGAACUUUAUACACAGUAACACUUGUCUUAAUUAUCAUUAAAUUAGUAAGGAGUAAGAACCAUAGCUUCCUUUGCAGCUUUUAAACUAAGUACACUUUUCUUAAUUAUCAAUAUUGUCACCAAACUUGGUGUAUAGAAAGCGUAUAUAAAUACUUUACUAGUGGUUGUACUUAAGGCUGAAAAUGUGGUUUUAUGCCAGUGUUCUGUUCAGAAAUUGCAUAAAUGAAGCAGACAUUGUCUGAAAGUGAUCUCUAGAUUAAGUUUUAAAAUGAUCCCUUUUGCUUAUAACGAAAUUUACUAGUUUAUCAAUUCUAUACAUUUAUAUAUAAUUCUUUCAACUCAUUAUGUUAAAAUACAUAUAAUAACAUUCUUAUAUAUUUUGAAAUUGAAAAAAAAAAUUGAUAAA